UACGUAGGGUGCGAGCGUUGUCCGGAAUUACUGGGCGUAAAGAGCUCGUAGGUGGUUUGUCGCGUUGUUCGUGAAAACUCACAGCUCAACUGUGGGCGUGCGGGCGAUACGGGCAGACUGGAGUACUGCAGGGGAGACUGGAAUUCCUGGUGUAGCGGUGGAAUGCGCAGAUAUCAGGAGGAACACCGAUGGCGAAGGCAGAUCUCUGGGCCGUAACUGACGCUGAGGAGCGAAAGCAUGGGGAGCGAACAGG
rnacentral:rRNA from 1 species